AUUGAACGCUGGCGGAAUGCUUUACACAUGCAAGUCGAGCGGCAGCGCGGGGCAACCUGGCGGCGAGCGGCGAACGGGUGAGUAAUGCAUCGGAACGUACCCCGUCGUGGGGGAUAACUACCCGAAAGGGUAGCUAAUACCGCAUACGACCUGAGGGUGAAAGCGGGGGGACCGAAAGGCCUCGCGCGAUGGGAGCGGCCGAUGCCGGAUUAGCUAGUUGGUAGGGUAAAGGCCUACCAAGGCGACGAUCCGUAGCUGGUCUGAGAGGACGACCAGCCACACUGGAACUGAGACACGGUCCAGACUCCUACGGGAGGCAGCAGUGGGGAAUUUUGGACAAUGGGCGAAAGCCUGAUCCAGCCAUUCCGCGUGAGUGAAGAAGGCCU
rnacentral:rRNA from 1 species